GUUGUAAAUUAAUUCUAGUUCUAAAAUUAAAAAAAUUAUAUAUUUUUUUUUUCUAUUUUACAAGAUGAAAAAAACCUAAACAUCUAUCCGCAAAAUAAUACAGUAGUAGUGUCCAAUAAUAUUGUCUCUUAAAUUGAUCUAGAAAAUAAUUCUUACCAAUGAUGAACAAAUGAAUGUGUCAGCAAUUUCGUCUGUCCAAAUUGUCAAAAUGAAUGGUAUAACCUGAAUCGAAUUUUCCUUACAAUUUUCCGUCCACGAUAUUCCAUCACAAAGAAUGUUAGAGACAAUAUCUGAAGAACAUAAAAGUGGCAGUGUUCGAAAAAAUAAUGUUCGAUUUGAUAGAAUUUUUCUACUCUUUGAUAAAAUUGCUCAUCUUUGUGAUAGUCGAAUGCUUAUUCUCGAUAUACACGUGCAUUAUUCGAAUAAUUUUCAUACAAUUAACGGGAGAAAAAUCAUUGCAAUGGACUCAACGUUUUCUAAUCUACUAUUUAUCUAAAUACUUCCUUGUAAACUGAAUAAGGACAAAAAGGAAACGUAAUGCUAUUAUCUCGGUACACGGUAAGAAGACUUCAAAGGUAAAGCGCGAAAUACGUGUCGUAAAGAAAAUAGGAAUUUGUUUCGUAUUCUGUUUUCGUUUUUGUCCACGUUCAUUCAUUAUAUAUAAUCUAAUAAAAUUAUUUCUCACUUUUUUUUUAUUACUUUUACUAUUAACAUUAAAAAAAAAAUAAUUACAUUGUGAUCUAUUUCAAUGUCAAGCCAUCAUAUAUUUUUCAGUUCAUUUUCUACAUUUUUAUUCUUGGCAUGUUGACUUUAAUCCUCGAUUCGUGUACUUCGCCAAUAGAAAAACCUUUCAAAUAUGAAGAUCGUUUCUUGCUCUGCCAUUUCAAUCAGAUACAUCUUCCGAAACAUGCGAAUGAAAUUGCUAAAUUUAACCGUGAUAAAAAGAGAAAAUACUUGUUGGUGAAAUCUUUGACAAAAAAAUCGAAAAAAAAAUAUGUAGUUCAGUUUUUCCUUCAAAAUACCGAUUCUGAAUCUAACAAUUAAAUAAAGAAAAGAUAACGAAGGUUAUUCUAUAUUUUAUUCCGGAAUUCUUUCGGAAUUAUCGAAAGAAUUAUACAAAUAAAUGCAAAAAUUAGAAACGUAAAAGAUAAGAUACCUAAACUAAUCCAAAAAAUAUUCAGAGAUGGAAGAUUCGUGAAUAAUUACAACAUAAUACGGAAUACAAAUUUUAGAGACGCGAAACAAGAU